UGAAGGCAGAUAUCAUUUGAAGCGUGACGAAAAGAAGCACCCCAUUGAGAGAGAUUAGCACGUGACGCAAGCGGCACAUAUGAUUACAGUACUUUUGUUUGACAGACCUAACCGUUAUUCAACUUAUUGACUCAUGGAUAGAGGGUGUCCUCAAAAGAUCUGUGUGGAUCCUGGAACAGAGAAUGGAAUCGUUGCAGCAUUUCAUUGAAUCCUGUUUAGAAGGAAAUGGCAAUUCAGUUACUUAGGGAAAAUCUGGAGCAAAUCAAGGUGCUUCACAAUACU